CCUACGGGAGGCAGCAGUAGGGAAUCUUUCACAAUGGGCGAAACCCUGAUGCAGCGACGCCGCGUGCGUGAUGAAGUACUUCGUUUUGUAAACCGCUAUCAUCAGCGAGGAAUAUGACGGUACCUGAGUAAUAAGCCCCGGCUAACUACGUGCCAGCAGCCGCGGUCAUACGUAGGGUCCGAGCAUUAUCCGGAGUUACUGGGUGUAAAGAGUUGCUUAGGUGGCAUGAUAAGUAGCUAGUGAAGUCUGGUGGCCCAACCAUUCAGACUAUUAGCUACUCUGUUAAGCUCGAGACCGUGAGGGGUAACUGGAAUUGCUAGUGUAGGAGUGAAAUCCGUAGAUAUUAGAAGGAACACCAAUAGCGUAGGCAGGUUACUGGGACGGUUCUGACACUAAGGCACGAAAGCGUAGGGAGCAAACGGGAUUAGAUACCCUAGUAGUC
rnacentral:rRNA from 1 species